rnacentral:rRNA from 1 species
GACGAACGCUGGCGGCGUGCUUAACACAUGCAAGUCGAACGGAAAGGCCCUGCUUUUGUGGGGUGCUCGAGUGGCGAACGGGUGAGUAACACGUGAGUAACAUGCCCUUGACUUUGGGAUAACUUCAGGAAACUGGGGCUAAUACCGGAUAGGAGCUCCUGCUGCAUGGUGGGGGUUGGAAAGUUUCGGCGGUUGGGGAUGGACUCGCGGCUUAUCAGCUUGUUGGUGGGGUAGUGGCUUACCAAGGCUUUGACGGGUAGCCGGCCUGGGAGGGUGACCGGCCACAUUGGUACUGAGAUACGGCCCAGACGCCUACGGGAGGCAGCAGUGGAGAGUAUUGCGCAGUGGGCGGAAGCCUGAUACAGCGACGCCGCGUGCGGAAUGACGUCCUUCGGGUUGUAAACCGCUUUCGCCUGUGACGAAGCGUGAGUGACGGUAAUGGGUAAAGAAGCACCGGCUAACUACGUG